AGACAAGUAAGAAAAUUGAACUUGGUUCUUUGAGAUAAUGAGGGUCAAAUGUAGCACAGUAAUGAAGUUCAGACUCAAUUCAAAGGAUAUUUACUAAACAAAUAUGUAUACAAGAACUCACUAAAAGAUGAAGAAAUACAUAUUUUAAAAUAUGGCUUGAAACUUUUAGGAUGAAAAUAAAGCUAUGAAAUGAAAUGUCCACAUAUUACUUUGUUGCUUCUGGGUUUCAAAAAAAAAUUUUUAAUAUGAAACUAAGUAUAGUGUUAAUUAUCACUGUGAGAAGUUCAACUCAGCCUUUUGCAAGAAAAGGAAAAGCUUUCUUUGUUGUUUAUCUGUUAAUAAUUUGUAAUUUUCCCCAUUAAGCUUCAGAAUACUGGUAGUGAAGUAGAGUCUAACAGAAAUACCAUUAACUGUAUUCAAAUAUUCAUUUAUAUUCAAAGUGUAACAUAAAUGACACUGUUUUGACAGUAUGUCUAAUUAUAAUUUUAAUUCAGUCCACUAUGUUUCUUCUUUAGAUUUUGGAACAAGGUAGGUCAUAUAAUAAUAAACUGAAAUGGCCC
rnacentral:lncRNA from 1 species